rnacentral:piRNA from 1 species
UGACAGUAUGGUACCUGUGGGCACUUGUC